rnacentral:lncRNA from 12 species
AUAGUAGCAAAAAGACAGGUCUCGCCUCCAAUCUUACUGUGUCCUUCAAGGUUCUAUACCUCUUUGUAUGUUCUGUAUACUUCACUCUCUACCCAAUGAUCCCCAUAAAUCUCACUCUAUAAGUCUGUUAAACAAAACUUUCUUCAUAGCCGUUAGACUCGGCUGACACAUUAAAACAUUUCUUCUGCUAUUAGUACUCUCUUCUCAGCUCUGCUUUCCUGUUGGCAAACAAGUUCCAUGGCUGGAGAAAGUGGUUAGGACUUGGCAUAUAGAAAUGGAAAUCAACUUGUGUGUGCUUUCAUUGUUAAAGGAGCCCUCUGUUGCCUUGGAAACCACAGUCUGUGUAGAAGAAGUAGUGUAUUUUGUGGGUAGAUGAUUGAACAAUCAGGUAUGCUAUGUGUAAACAUCAUGCAUCUGUGUAAAGAAGCAUUGGCCAAGCUUUGUUGGCAGUAAGACCAGAAUCUGGUUUUGGUAUAAGUCACAUGUCUGCUAAAGUAUAUUUGCAAAAUGUUUCUUGGGCAGAGCAAAUAUUAUAAGGAACAUAACUUUGUGAGUUUUCCUUUGAACCCAUGCCUCACAGAAAGUAUAGCCAAAAGAGGGAAAGUGACUCAAAACCCAAGCCAUAUAUUCAAGCCUUCCAUUCAUCAUUUAUACUCUACAAUAUCUUGUCAAAGUCCCCCUGGUCUAACUAGUCUAUGAGAUAAGAAGAAUUGCCACACUCCUCACAAUCAGAUGCCUGAAAGCUGAUGUCAGAAUGGUUCCUGCUAAGAAAUUAACGCAUACUGAUAAUUUCAAGAGUGAAGUAUAACUUCUUUUUUUAUUUUAAUUUUUAUUUAUUUUAUUUA